ACAAGUGUCUAGUAUAGAAUCCUCGGAGUAAAUACUAGUUAUCACCACAAUCCUUUCUGCUAGAGGCUGUUGUCCCCCUGUCCUCCCAAGCCUUGUGUAGAAAGGAAUUGCCAAAGCAGGGUUGGAACCGGCUUAAGGUUCUCCUUUGGCUGCUAUCUAGAAACUUGGGAUUUGGUGUGUUUCCACUCUUCCGACCUGGCGGUUUACUGUAGCUAUAUAGUAGGUAGAAUGUGAUGUGUGCUGUACACCUGGGUAGCUCUCCGGAAGUCGGGCAUUUGGGGCUGGAGGAUGGGGAAGGAAGCUCCCAUAUUGGAACUCCUUUAGGUCUGCACUUGCCUGGUGUGUCCUUUGACUUGACUUUUCAUUUGUAUUUAAAAUCCUUCACAAAUGAUUAGCGAAUGUCAGUGAGUUAGGUUCCCAAGUUGUGUGUAUUGCUGUAGAAGGUUAAUUACAGCCAGGGAAGCAGUUUUGGAAACCUGAUUUAUAGCCAGUCGAUAGCCAGGCUAACUGCAGCCUGGUCUGCAGUUAGCAUCUGAAGUUGGGCAGUCGGGAACUGAACCCUCAACCUGUGGGCUCCGACUCCCGGUAGAUGGAUGGCAUCACAUUGGAAGUAGAGGGCACCUGGCCAGAAUCACUGGAGAAAUGCUAGGGGUGUGGUGUCUGUUGAGUAGUGUUGAGUGGUUUGUCCUGGAGCUAAACCUCUGAUGUGCUGGGAGCGUUGGGGAUUGGUGUAGGUCUGUUAUAGCCAUAGGAGUGAUCUUUGAAGGCCCCAUUUCUUUAUAUACAGCCAAGUGCGUUCCCCCAGGUGCAUCCCAGCGUUCUGCGUUGUCUUUGGUUUUUGUUGUGUGCUGUAGUCAGUGUGACAGCCUCAGGAGGCUGUUCUUUACUGUAUGGUAGGUUCUUGUGGCUGUUUGUAUACAUGCUCACACCGCCUGUGAGAGGAAGUGGCAUUUUACUUCUUUCUAAGGUGUAGGCUAGUUGGUUUUGUUUUGUUUUUGUUUGUUUGUUUUUGCUGUUGUUAGUUUUGCUUUUGUGCCCUGCUGCACCAGCUGGGACCUUAAGGACAGUCUGAAUGAAGCGGUGACAUUGUCACCCUUUCCUGUUUCCCCGCAGGAGAGUCUAUGGGCUUGCCAGGUUCAGUGGGUGACUCCUUUCUCUGCUUUCUGUAGGCGUGGCCAGUGUAAAAGCAGCUCCCAAAAUGAUUGACACCAAAGGUGGCUUCAUUUUAGAAGAGGAAGAAGAGAAACACGAGAUUGGAAACAUUGUUCAUGAACCAGGGCCCGUCAUGGAGUUUGAUUACACCAUCUGUGAAGAAUGCGGGAAAGAGUUCAUGGACUCGUACCUUAUGAACCACUUUGAUCUGCCAACGUGUGACAGCUGCAGAGAUGCUGAUGAUAAACACAAGCUUAUAACCAAGACAGAAGCGAAGCAAGAGUACCUUCUGAAGGACUGUGAUCUAGAGAAGAGAGAGCCAGCGCUCAGGUUCCUUGUGAAGAAGAACCCACGCCAUUCACAGUGGGGCGAUAUGAAGCUCUACCUAAAGCUACAGGUGGUAAAGCGGGCUCUUGAAGUGUGGGGUAGCCAGGAAGCUCUGGAAGAUGCAAAGGAAGUGAGGCAGGAAAACCGAGAAAAAAUGAAGCAGAAGAAGUUUGAUAAAAAAGUAAAAGCACUUGGUGGAUAUGUUCCUGUCCUGACUAGGCCACAGAGGGCUGAGUGGAGUAGACUGUAGAGUAGAAACGAGGAGCUCAGAACAGAGAGGAGACAAAGCAAGUCUAAAGGCUUUUAGUUGGAAAGAAUUGGGACAUGGUUCCUCUUGAUGCACAGCGAAGCUGACGCAAAGCUUUCUUCUUUAUGGGAAGAAUUGCGGCGAGCAAUAAGAAGCAGUGUAUGGAAAAGAGAGACAACCACUCACCAACAUAAAUAUGGACCAGAGGAAAACUUAGAAGAUGACAUGUACCGCAAGACUUGUACCUUGUGUGGCCACGAACUGACAUAUGAAAAAAUGUGACUUUUUAAAAAAUUUAUAUUCAAAUAAAGACCCUGUUCAAAGUUC